GAUGAAGAGCGUAGCGAAAUGCGAUACUUGGUGUGAAUUGCAGAAUCCCGUGAACCAUCGAGUCUUUGAACGCAAGUUGCGCCCGAAGCCACUAGGCCGAGGGCACGCCUGCCUGGGCGUCACACGUCGUUGCCCCCCCAUCUACUCCUUCGGGAUUGCGGGGGGGCGGAUGAUGGCCUCCCGUGCGCCUAGCCGCGCGGUUGGCAUAAAUACCAAGUCCUCGGCGACGCACGCCACGACAAUCGGUGGUUGCGAAACCUCGGUUGCCCGUCGUGUGCGUUCGUCGCGCAUCGAGGGCUCGAAAAAAUGCUCGGCUCCGGCUGGGCUUUCAACGCGACCCCAGGUCAGGCGGGGUUACCCGCUGAAUUUAAGCAUAUCAAUAAGCGGAGGA
rnacentral:misc_RNA from 1 species